rnacentral:tRNA from 2 species
GCCAGAGUGGCGGAAUGGUAGACGCGCACGGUUUAGGACCGUGUGGGGUAACCCGUGGAGGUUCGAGUCCUCUCUCUGGCA